GACGUAGGGGGCCAGCGUUGUUCGGAAUUACUGGGUGUAAAGGGUUUGUAGGCGGUGCGGCAAGUUGGGAGUGAAAUCUCUGGGCUUAACCCAGAGGCUGCUUCCAAAACUGCUGUGCUUGAGUGUGGGAGAGGCGCGUGGAAUUGCAGGUGUAGCGGUGAAAUGCGUAGAUAUCUGCAGGAACACCCGUGGCGAAAGCGGCGCGCUGGACCACUACUGACGCUGAGGAACGAAAGCUAGGGGAGCAAACAGG
rnacentral:rRNA from 1 species